AGAGUUUGAUCAUGGCUCAGGAUGAACGCUAGCGACAGGCUUAACACAUGCAAGUCGAGGGGCAGCGAGGGAGUGGCAACACUUCUGUCGGCGACCGGCGCACGGGUGAGUAACGCGUAUGCAACCUGCCCUUCACAGGGGGAUAACCGGGAGAAAUUCCGACUAAUACCGCAUACGUCCCCUGGGGGCAUCCCCUGGGGAUGAAAGAAUUAUCGGUGAAGGAUGGGCAUGCGUGAUAUUAGGUAGUUGGCGGGGCAACGGCCCGACCAAGGCCCACGAUAUCUAGGGGUUCUGAGAGGAAGGUCCCCCACAUUGGUACUGAGACACGGACAAACUCUACGGAGGCA
rnacentral:rRNA from 1 species